ACGGAAGGCAGCAGUGGGGAAUAUUGCACAAUGGGCGAAAGCCUGAUGCAGCGACGCCGCGUGAGUGAUGAAGUAUUUCGGUAUGUAAAGCUCUAUCAGCAGGGAAGAAAAUGACGGUACCUGACUAAGAAGCCCCGGCUAAAUACGUGCCAGCAGCCGCGGUAAUACGUAUGGGGCAAGCGUUAUCCGGAUUUACUGGGUGUAAAGGGAGCGCAGGCGGCAAGGCAAGUCAGAAGUGAAAACCCGGGGCUCAACCCCGUGGAUUGCCUUUGGAACUGUAGGACUUGAGUACUGGAGGGGCAGGCGGAAUUCCUGGUGUAGCGGUGAAAUGCGUAGAUAUCAGGAGGAACACCGGUGGCGAAGGCGGCCUGCUGGACAGAAACUGACGCUGAGGCUCGAAAGCGUGGGGAGCAAACAGGAUUAGAUACCCUGGUA
rnacentral:rRNA from 1 species